rnacentral:misc_RNA from 1 species
CUGUAAUCAUGCCAAGGGAAAAAAAAGUCUCAAGGAAUAAAUCUGGAUUCUUACAAUGCCCCAAAAUUUCUUAACCAUACGAUAUAAGUGCACGCAUUAAUGGCUGAAGAAAUCGGCAAACACAAUACUAGUUUGCCAGCAGCAUUCAUCACAAGCUUCUCCAACGACCAACUCAAGAAUACAAAAGCUCUAACUGGCAUCAUCUUGAUCACCCAUUUCCUCCAGUAUGACAUAUUUUGCAGCAAUAUUUGAUGUAGGUGACCCAGCGAAUUCAUCUUCAUUCCCAUUAUGCUUUUUUAGCUUUUCAUACUUGUACCAGUUGAAUAAACUCACGCCCAACAUUAUGAUUAAAAGGCCAACACCUUUCA